AGCGAACGCUGGCGGUAGGCCUAACACAUGCAAGUCGAACGGCAGCACAGGAGAGCUUGCUCUCUGGGUGGCGAGUGGCGGACGGGUGAGGAAAACAUCGGAAUCUACUCUGUCGUGGGGGAUAACGUAGGGAAACUUACGCUAAUACCGCAUACGACCUACGGGUGAAAGCAGGGGACCUUCGGGCCUUGCGCGAUUGAAUGAGCCGAUGUCGGAUUAGCUAGUUGGCGGGGUAAAGGCCCACCAAGGCGACGAUCCGUAGCUGGUCUGAGAGGAUAGUCAGCCACACUGGAACUGGGACACGGUCCAGACUCCUACGGGAGGCAGCAGUGGGGAAUAUUGGCCAAUGGGCGCAAGCCUGAUCCAGCCAUACCGCGUGGGUGAAGAAGGCCUUCGGGUUGUAAAGCCCUUUUGUUGGGAAAGAAAUCCAGCUGGCUAAUACCCGGUUGGGAUGACGGUACCCAAAGAAUAAGCACCGGCUAACUUCGUGCCAGCCGCCGCCGUAA
rnacentral:rRNA from 1 species